rnacentral:rRNA from 1 species
CCUACGGGAGGCAGCAGUGGGGAAUAUUGCACAAUGGGGGAAACCCUGAUGCAGCGACGCCGCGUGGGUGAAGAAGUAUUUCGGUUUGUAAACUUCUAUCAUCAGGGAAGAAAAUGACGGUACCUAACUAAUAAGCCCCGGCUAACUCCGUGCCAGCAGCCGCGGUAAUACGUAGGGGGCAAGCGUUACCCGGAUUUACUGGGUGUAAAGGGAGCGUAGGCGGUGAAGCAAGUCAGAUGUGAAAGCUCGGGGCUCAACCACAGGACUGCAUUUGAAACUGUUUUACUAGAGUACAGGAGAGGUAGGUGGAAUUCCUAGUGUAGGGGUAAAAUGCGUAGAUAUUAGGAGGAAUACCAGUUGCGAAGGCGACUUACUGGACCGUAACUGACGCUGAGGCUCGAAAGCGUGGGGAGCAAACAGGAUUAGAUACCCGGGUAGUC